rnacentral:rRNA from 1 species
GAGUUUGAUCCUGGCUCAGGAUGAACGCUGGCGGCGUGCCUAAUACAUGCAAGUCGAGCGAACGGACGAGAAGCUUGCUUCUCUGAUGUUAGCGGCGGACGGGUGAGUAACACGUGGAUAACCUACCUAUAAGACUGGGAUAACUUCGGGAAACCGGAGCUAAUACCGGAUAAUAUUUUGAACCGCAUGGUUCAAAAGUGAAAGACGGUCUUGCUGUCACUUAUAGAUGGAUCCGCGCUGCAUUAGCUAGUUGGUAAGGUAACGGCUUACCAAGGCAACGAUGCAUAGCCGACCUGAGAGGGUGAUCGGCCACACUGGAACUGAGACACGGUCCAGACUCCUACGGGAGGCAGCAGUAGGGAAUCUUCCGCAAUGGGCGAAAGCCUGACGGAGCAACGCCGCGUGAGUGAUGAAGGUCUUCGGAUCGUAAAACUCUGUUAUUAGGGAAGAACAUAUGUGUAAGUAACUGUGCACAUCUUGACGGUACCUAAUCAGAAAGCCACGGCUAACUACGUGCCAGCAGCCGCGGUAAUACGUAGGUGGCAAGCGUUAUCCGGAAUUAUUGGGCGUAAAGCGCGCGUAGGCGGUUUUUUAAGUCUGAUGUGAAAGCCCACGGCUCAACCGUGGAGGGUCAUUGGAAACUGGAAAACUUGAGUGCAGAAGAGGAAAGUGGAAUUCCAUGUGUAGCGGUGAAAUGCGCAGAGAUAUGGAGGAACACCAGUGGCGAAGGCGACUUUCUGGUCUGUAACUGACGCUGAUGUGCGAAAGCGUGGGGAUCAAACAGGAUUAGAUACCCUGGUAGUCCACGCCGUAAACGAUGAGUGCUAAGUGUUAGGGGGUUUCCGGCCCCUUAGUGCUGCAGCUAACGCAUUAAGCACUCCGCCUGGGGAGUACGACCGCAAGGUUGAAACUCAAAGGAAUUGACGGGGACCCGCACAAGCGGUGGAGCAUGUGGUUUAAUUCGAAGCAACGCGAAGAACCUUACCAAAUCUUGACAUCCUUUGACAACUCUAGAGAUAGAGCCUUCCCCUUCGGGGGGGCAAAGUGACAGGUGGUGCAUGGUUGUCGUCAGCUCGUGUCGUGAGAUGUUGGGUUAAGUCCCGCAACGAGCGCAACCCUUAAGCUUAGUUGCCAUCAUUAAGUUGGGCACUCUAAGUUGACUGCCGGUGACAAACCGGAGGAAGGUGGGGAUGACGUCAAAUCAUCAUGCCCCUUAUGAUUUGGGCUACACACGUGCUACAAUGGACAAUACAAAGGGCAGCGAAACCGCGAGGUCAAGCAAAUCCCAUAAAGUUGUUCUCAGUUCGGAUUGUAGUCUGCAACUCGACUACAUGAAGCUGGAAUCGCUAGUAAUCGUAGAUCAGCAUGCUACGGUGAAUACGUUCCCGGGUCUUGUACACACCGCCCGUCACACCACGAGAGUUUGUAACACCCGAAGCCGGUGGAGAACCUUUUAGGAGCUAGCCGUCGAAGGUGGGACAAAUGAUUGGGGUGAAGUCGUAACAAGGUAGCCGUAUCGGAAGGUGCGGCUGGAUCACC